rnacentral:rRNA from 1 species
GUCGACGAACCGAAAGUUCGCAUGAACCGCAAACCUGAUCCCUUCCCGAACUCAGAAGUGAAACGACGCAUCGCCGAUGGUAGUGUGGGGUCUCCCCAUGUGAGAGUAGGUCAUCGUCAAGC